rnacentral:rRNA from 1 species
GUAAGGAAUAUUGGACAAUGGGCGCAAGCCUGAUCCAGCCAUGCCGCGUGAAGGAUGAAGGCCCUAUGGGUCGUAAACUUCUUUUAAACGGGACGAAACCCCUCGACGUGUCGAGGGCUGACGGUACCGUAAGAAUAAGGGUCGGCUAACUUCGUGCCAGCAGCCGCGGUAAUACGAAGGACCCGAGCGUUAUCCGGAUUUAUUGGGUUUAAAGGGUGCGUAGGCGGACCUAUAAGUCAGUGGUGAAAGCCCAUCGCUCAACGAUGGAAUUGCCAUUGAUACUGUAGGUCUUGAGUAUAGUUGAGGUGGGCGGAAUGUGUCAUGUAGCGGUGAAAUGCUUAGAUAUGACACAGAACACCUAUUGCGAAGGCAGCUCGCUAAGCUAUAACUGACGCUGAGGCACGAAAGUGUGGGUAGCAAACAGGAUUAGAUACCCUGGUAGUCC